rnacentral:lncRNA from 1 species
GAAUAGUUGUCCCCUUAGAACAAAGAGCAUUGUUCUGUGGCAUAAAAAGAGAAUGGAUGUAAAGAGAUGCACAUCCCAGACCGCCGUCCCACACAGCUCCCCUGCCACAGCACUGGUGCCAAGGAGCAGGACCAGGCACAGUGCUGGUUUCAGGGAGAAAAAAGAUAUUUUGAAGAUCUCUGCGCCUGGCAUAAGGAAAGUGCACUCUCUGUGUUCCUGCUUGAAAUCCUUGUCCUUGCAGUUCCCCCAGCAGAGCUACAGGUUCUCAGGAGACCAUGGAAGAGACCCAGACUGCUGCAUGCUAUUGAUCACAGCACUGCCAAUUCGGGGAAACACAUUGCUGCUAUGAAGAUGGAGGCUGUUCACAUGUUCCUUUCUGGGAGUGGUGUAACGGGUUUCUG